UUGGCGAUGCGUCUUAAGCAUGCAAGUCGAGCGGGCUUAUUCGGGCAACUGGAUAAGUUAGCGGCGAACUGGUGAGUAACACGUAGGUAAUCUGCCGUGAAGUGGGGGAUAACCCAUGGAAACAUGGACUAAUACCGCAUAUACUCUUGCUACAUAAGUAGAGUAGAGGAAAGUUUUUUCGCUUCACGAUGAGCCUGCGGCCUAUUAGCCUGUUGGUAGGGUAAUGGCCUACCAAAGCUACGAUAGGUAGCCGACCUGAGAGGGUGACCGGCCACAUUGGGACUGAGAUACGGCCCAGACUCCUACGGGAGGCAGCAGCUGAGAAUCUUCCACAAUGGACGAAAGUCUGAUGGAGCGACAUCGCGUGAGGGAUGAAGGCCUUCGGUUUGUAAACCUCGGAAAUUAUCGAAGAAUGAGUGACAGUAGAUAAUGUAA
rnacentral:rRNA from 1 species